rnacentral:misc_RNA from 1 species
UCAUUUAGAGGAAGGAGAAGUCGUAACAAGGUUUCCGUAGGUGAACCUGCGGAAGGAUCAUUGUCGAAACCUGCAAAGCAGAAAGACCAGCGGACCCAUUACAACACCCAGGGGUGACCCCAACCCCUGACGCUGAGUGUGUGCGGCCCUGCCUUGCGCCCUCAGCAUAAAACGAACCCAGGCGCGGAACGCGUCAAGGAAUCAUAACGAAACGAGCUCCUGCCGUGGCCCCGGGGACGGUGAUCGCCGCAGCAGCUGUGUUGUGCUUGGUUAAGUCUAAAAUGACUCUCGGCAACGGAUAUCUCGGCUCUCGCAUCGAUGAAGAACGUAGCGAAAUGCGAUACUUGGUGUGAAUUGCAGAAUCCCGUGAACCAUCGAGUCUUUGAACGCAAGUUGCGCCUGAAGCCAUCAGGCUGAGGGCACGUCUGCCUGGGCGUCAAACACCGAUGCCCCCCCAAAUCCCCUCGUCACUCUCCCCUGAGUGCCCGGGGAGUGUGGGGGUCGGAUGAUGGCCUCCCGUGUCUUGGCUCGCGGUUGGCCCAAAGUCGAGUCCUCGGUCACGGUUACCGUGGUGACAGGUGGUUGUCGGUCGCUCGGUACCCCGUCACGUGCGCCGGACACGAAUCGAGACUCUCUUGAUUACCCCAACGCAUCCCCGUGUGGGUGCCUCUGAUGUGACCCCAGGUCAGGCGGGGCUACCCGCUGAGUUUAAGCAUAUC